rnacentral:tRNA from 1 species
GGGCGAUUAGCUCAGUCGGUUAGAGCGCCGCUCUGAUAAGGCGGAGGUCGGUGGUUCGAGUCCACCAUCGCCCA